CCUCAAGCUACUAAGAGCACAUGGUGGAUGCCUUGGCAGUUGAAGGCGAUGAAGGGCGUGGUAAGCUGCGAUAAGCGCCGGUGAGCUGCACACAAGCUUUGACCCGGCGAUUCCCGAAUGGGGAAACCCGUACGGAGUAAUAUCCGUACAUCCCGGAAUGAAUCCAUAGUUCCGGGAGGCAAACCCGGGGAAGUGAAACAUCUCAGUACCCGGAGGAAAAGAAAGCAACCGCGAUUCCCUGAGUAGUGGCGAGCGAAAGGGGAACAGCCUAAACCGAUUCCGGUGUUAAAGCCAGCGGGCGUUGCCGGAACGGGGUAGUGGGACCAGGCUUCGCCAACCGCUGUGAGGCGAGGGAGUUACCAUAACCAACCGUUAGCCGAAGUCUUCUGGAAAGAAGCACCAUAGAGGGUGAAGGUCCCGUAGGCAAAAAUGGUUGGUUCUCCCGCGGCUUGGUUCCCAAGUACCACGGGGCACGAGAAACCCUGUGGGAAUCCAGGAGGACCACCUUCUAAGGCUAAAUACUCUCAACUGACCGAUAGUGCACCAGUACCGUGAGGGAAAGGUGAAAAGAACCCCUGGCGGGGAGUGAAAUAGAACCUGAAACCAUGUGCUUACAAUCAGUGGGAGCAGCUUACCACCUUUCCGCAAGGUUUGGUGGUGGCUGUGACCGCGUGCCUUUUGCAUAAUGACCCGGCGAGUGAAUGUGCGUGGCGAGGUUAAGCCUCUCUGAGGCGAAGCCGGAGCGAAAGCGAGUCCUAAUUGGGCGUUAAGUCGCGCGCAUUCGACCCGAAACCCGUGUGAUCUACCCAUGGCCAGGUUGAACUUGGGGUAACACCCAAGGGAGGACCGAACCGGUGGCCCUUGCAAUAGCCUCGGAUGAGCUGUGGGUAGGAGUGAAAGGCUAAUCAAACCGGGUGAUAGCUGGUUCUCCCCGAAAUGCCUUUAGGGGCAGUCUCGCAAGUUCAGUUGCGGAGGUAGAGCACUGGACGGGCGCUCCCCCACAAUGUGGGGGAAAACCCGACCAAACUCCGAAUUCCGCAACUUUAGAUUGCGGGAAAGAGGCUGUGAGCUCUAAGGUCCAUAGCCGAGAGGGGAAUAACCCAGACCACCAGCUAAGGCCCCUAAGUGUAUGCUAAGUGUGAAAAGAGGUGAGGUUGCUCAGACAGCUGGGAUGUUGGCUUAGAAGCAGCAAUCAUUUAAAGAGUGCGUAACAGCUCACCAGUCGAGUGACCUUGCACUGAAAAUUCACCGGGGCUCAAGCAUACCGCCGAAGCUGUGGACUUCUGUUAGGUUCGCCUGACAGGAGUGGUAGGGGAGCGUUCUGUUGUAGGCUGAAGCCCGACCGCGAGGCCGGGUGGACGAACCAGAAGUGAUUAUGCCGGGACGAGUAGCGUUAAAACAGGUGAAAAACCUGUUCGCCGAAAACCCAAGGUUUCCUGGGGAAGGUUAAUCCGCCCAGGGUUAGUCGGUGCCUAAGCUGAGGCCGAAAGGCGUAGGUGAUGGGAAUCCGGUCAAUAUUCCGGAACCACCUUGGCAUCGUUAUGAGCUAUGGGGGGACGCAGGCGGAAUGGUUUAGCCCCGUGCUGGAUCGGGGUCUAAGCCAGGGCGAUGGUGCGUAGGAAAAUCCGCGCACAUAAUUCGCUCUGGUGAUGGGGACCCUGCCGUAAGGCAGGGGAACUGAACCGGACCGACUGCCGAGAAAAGCCUCUAUGCCAGAUGUCAGGGUGACCGUACCGUAAACCGACACUGGUGGGUGAGGAGAGUAUCCAAAGGCGCUCGGGUGAGCUCUCGUUAAGGAACUCGGCAAUCUAACCCCGUAACUUCGGGAGAAGGGGUGCCACCGCAAGGUGGCCGCAGUGAAAUGGCUCUACCGACUGUUUAACAAAAACACAUGUCUCUGCUAAGCCGUAAGGCGAAGUAUAGGGACUGACACCUGCCCGGUGCCGGAAGGUUAAGGAAGGGGGUUAGCCGCAAGGCGAAGCUCCCGACCGAAGCCCCGGUAAACGGCGGCCGUAACUCUAACGGUCCUAAGGUAGCGAAAUUCCUUGUCGGGUAAGUUCCGACCUGCACGAA
rnacentral:rRNA from 1 species